rnacentral:lncRNA from 1 species
GUAGGUAAAUCUGACUCGUGGGAUACAUUCCCAAAUCCUUUGCAGGAUUCCAAAGGGUCCAAUGUAUCUGAGAGCUAAUUUACCUUUCUGCCCAUAACGAAUCACCCUCUCUUUAAGAGACACCUCCAGCAACCCUCAACUUCCUCGAGAACCUCAACACGCUUCCGCUGCGCACUCUGACAAAACUCUUCUUCCCUUCUGAAACUCUACAUGCCUCUUGCGGAUAACUUCAUAA